rnacentral:rRNA from 1 species
UACGUAGGGCGCAAGCGUUGUCCGGAAUUAUUGGGCGUAAAGAGCUCGUAGGCGGCUUGUCGCGUCGGAUGUGAAAACCUGCGGCUCAACCGUGUGGUCUGCAGUCGAUACGGGCAGGCUGGAGUUCGGUAGGGGAGACUGGAAUUCCUGGUGUAGCGGUGAAAUGCGCAGAUAUCAGGAGGAACACCGGUGGCGAAGGCGGGUCUCUGGGCCGUAACUGACGCUGAGGAGCGAAAGCGUGGGGAGCGAACAGG